GAAGGAGGGGGAGGCGGGGUCGGGGCGGUGGGAAGCUUCUCUCGCGUGCCCGCCCCGAGCCGCGGCCGUCUGCAGCGAGGUGACGGGCCGGCCGGGUAGCGGCUCACGGCGCGGGCGGUGCGGUCCGGAGGCGUCGGGGAUGCGGCGGGUGAACCGUGCGGAAAAGAGCAGCGCUAUGAGCGUAGGCGUUAUAUUUGUUAAGUCCAAGGGUGAGAAGAGAUCCAAUUGCAUUCUGUGUGAAGCAAAGCGGUUUCAAAGGCAUUAAUGUGGUCCUCUCCGGUGACAAAAGAUGGACAAGAGG